CCGACCUUAGCUCAGUUGGUAGAGCGGAAGACUGUAGAUCUUUAGGUCGCUGGUUCGAUUCCGGCAGGCCGGA
rnacentral:tRNA from 1 species